rnacentral:pre_miRNA from 1 species
CUUAUACUCCCUCCGUCCGAAAAUACUUGUCAUCAAAAUGAAUAAAAAGAGAUGUAUCUAGAACUAAAAUACAUCUAGAUACAUCCCCUUUUAUCCAUUUUGAUGACAAGUAUUUCUGGACGGAGGGAGUAUUAG